ensembl:snoRNA
GAGUGAAAUGAUGGUCAACCAUCUUUCGGGACUUACCCAAGACAUGGGGAUAACUUUGUUUUGUGCUGAUCACUC